GGCCACCUCACAUUGAAACACCGGUUCUCAUAUGAUCAUCAAAGUUAAGCAACAUUGAGUCUGGUUAUACCUAGAUGGGUCACUGUUUGGGAAUACUAGGUGCUGUUA